rnacentral:rRNA from 1 species
UACGGAGGGUGCGAGCGUUAAUCGGAAUAACUGGGCGUAAAGGGCACGCAGGCGGAGUUUUAAGUGAGGUGUGAAAUCCCCGGGCUCAACCUGGGAAUAGCAUUUUGAACUGGCGGACUAGAGUACGUCAGAGGGGGGUAGAAUUCCACGUGUAGCAGUGAAAUGCGUAGAGAUGUGGAGGAAUACCGAAGGCGAAGGCAGCCCCUUGGGAUAAUACUGACGCUCAUGCGCGAAAGCGUGGGGAGCAAACAGG